CUGGCCCGGAACCUUCCCCCGGGGCCCUUGGGCCCCGCCCCCGACCUCCUCGGAGACGAUCGCUUUGGAGCACCAGAGCCUGAGCUGCCCAGCACCUGGAAGUGACCCACGUGUGGGACAGCUCUCCUCCGAGAACACAGCCGUGCCUCCGGGCCUGCCUUCCUCAGCUUGGUGCAAAAUAAAAGCUGCUCCCCUGCCCCCGCCACCCCCGCCCCGUGUCUGCUGGCAGUGACCCCUAUAGCCACAGCCCCUUCUCCAUCUACUCCCAGGCCCUGAGGCCCACAUCCUCCUAGGGGCGCAGACGGGGAGACCUCAGGUGGCCUGUGGGGCUGCCCUCCCUAUUUAUGGGGGCAGACAGGGCGGGAGUGGGCUCAGAGCUGAGGCACCUGAGGCCCAGGUAAGGUGACACAGCGCAAGGGCCCUCAGAGUAGCCUCCCCACUCAAAAUGUGGCCACAGACAAGCAGCAGUGGCGUCACCUGGGAGCCUGGCAGAAAUACAGAAUUUGGGGCCCAACCCAGAGAUCCCGCAUCAGAAUCUACAUUUCGGUGAGAUCCCCAGGGGAUAUGUGUGCAAAUUUGUGUGCAGUUUUUAAAAGUUUUCCAUUGAGGUAAAAUUCACACAACAUAAAUUCCAAAAUGUUACUCAUUUUAAACUGCACAAAUUCAGCGGCUUCACAUAGUUGUACGCUAAUUCCAGAACAUUUACAUCACCCCCCAAAAAACCCUGUACCUAUGAGCAGUCACUUCCCAUUCCCCUCCCACCACCCCUUGGAAACCACUAAUAUUUCUAUCUCUAUGGACUCGCCUAUUCUGGACAUUUCAUAUAAAUGGAAUCAUUCAAUAC